rnacentral:rRNA from 1 species
CGCUGGCGGCGUGCCUAAUACAUGCAAGUCGAGCGGAUCUUGUCCUUCGGGACAAGGUUAGCGGCGGACGGGUGAGUAACACGUAGGCAACCUGCCCUCAAGACUGGGAUAACCUCCGGAAACGGAUGCUAAUACCGGAUAUGCGGUUUCUCCUCCUGGAGAGACCGGGAAAGACGGAGCAAUCUGUCGCUUGGGGAUGGGCCUGCGGCGCAUUAGCUAGUUGGUGAGGUAACGGCUCACCAAGGCGACGAUGCGUAGCCGACCUGAGAGGGUGAUCGGCCACACUGGGACUGAGACACGGCCCAGACUCC